rnacentral:tRNA from 1 species
GUCCCCAUCGUCUAGCCUGGCCUAGGACAUUGCCCUUUCAAGGCAGUAACACGGGUUCAAAAUCCCGUUGGGGACACCA